rnacentral:rRNA from 1 species
AUACGGAGGGUGCAAGCGUUAUCCGGAUUUACUGGGUUUAAAGGGUGUGUAGGCGGGCUUUUAAGUCUGGGGUGAAAUCUCCGAGCUCAACUCGGAAACUGCCUUGGAUACUAUUAGUCUUGAAUUAUGUUGAGGUUGGCGGAAUAUAACAUGUAGCGGUGAAAUGCAUAGAUAUGUUAUAGAACACCGAUUGCGAAGGCAGCUAACUAAGCAUAUAUUGACGCUGAGGCACGAAAGCGUGGGGAUC